UCUGAUGGGGCCUUGGAGAACCUUUAUGUCUAGCUCAGGGAUUGUAAAUACACCAAUCGACACUCUGUAUCUUGCUCAAGGUUUGUAAACACACCAAUCAGCACCCUGUAUUUACCUCAAGGUUUGUGAGUGCACCAAUGGACACUGUAUCUAGCUGCUCUGGUGGGGCCUUGGAGAACCUUUGUGUCCACACUCUGUAUCUAACUAAUCUGAUGGGGUCGUGGAGAACCUUUGUAUCUAGCUCAGGCAUUGUAAACACACCAGUCAGCACCCUGUCAAAACAGACCACUGGGCUCUAUCAAUCAGCAGGAUGUGGGUGGGGCCAGAUAAGAGAAUAAAAGCAGGCUGCCCCAGCCAGCAGUGGCAACCCACUCGUGUCCCCUUCCACACUGUGGAAGCUUUGUUCUUUCACUCUUUGCAAUAAAUCUUGCUGCUGCUCACUCUUUGGGUCCACACUGCUUUUAUGAGCUGUAACACUCACCGCCAAAGUCUGCAGCUUCACUCCUGAAGCCAACGAGACCACAAGCCCACCGGGAGGGGAGGAACGAACAACUCCAGAUGCGCCGCCUUAAGAGCUAUAACACUCACUACGAAGGUCUGCAGUUUCACUCCUGAGCCAGCAAGACCACGAACCCACUAGAAGGAAGAAACUCUGAACACAUCCGAACGUCAGAAGGAACAAACUCCAGACGCGCCACCUUAAGAACUGUAACACUCACUGCGACGGUCCGUGGCAUCAUUCUUGAAGCUAGUGAGACCAAGAACCCACCAAUUCCGGACACAUUUUGGCGACCACGAAGGGACUUUCACCUAUCGCCAAGCAGUGAGACAAUCGCCGAGUGGUGAGACCGUCGCCUAUCGCCGAGUAGUGAGACAAUCGCCAAUCGCCAAGCAAUGAGACCAGGAUAACUCAUCUGUGGUAUGUGUUACAAGAGUAGUGUCUAGCGUCAUACUUGAAAGUGGAGAGAUGGUGACCAUGGGGACAGAAAAGUUCUGGGAAGCAGACAUGGACUACUGGAUUUCCAUGAAAACAAAAGUCACAUCCAGAAUACAUUAAAUUCUAAAACAUACAUGCUCAAUCAACAUGCGAAGAUACUGAAAGGACUUUGGGCUUAUUAAUUUUAUGUUAUUCAUCCCUAGCUGUUCAAAAGUACUCAUUAAGAUUGUUCUGGUAUUGGCUGAGUAAAGAUGAAGAUGAAAUAAGCAAUGAUCUCUAAUAUGAAGAACUCACAAACACCAGGAGGAAGAGCCAAAUGUGAAGUACGAAGUCGAACAAAGACCCAGAGGAAGAAGGUGAAUGGAGGAUGCUGAGGUCUCAGCAUUGAGAGGACCAGGCAGUCACUGAAGUGCAUACAAAUGGGCCCUACAGAAUCUGCCUUUUGCUGCUGCUGAAAAGCAAGGUUAAUGGAAUUUCCGCAGGAACAUGAGCGUUAAUAUGAUUUCCCCAUUUGUUCCCUCUCCUCUUUACGCAUACAUAGCAAAUUAAUUAAAUACUUCUGCAGCAUGGCUAAAUCCUUGUUAUUGUCAUGAUAAAAAAUUAAGCAUAAUAAUUUUAGUGCUAAUUAUGUAUUUUUGGCAUAAUGUUUCAUUCCAACUGAAAUACCCUUAAGCACAGGAGAAUGGCCAUUUAGUGAAAGUGAAACAUAAAAGAGAACGCUUUUAGAGUCUUGGAUUAUUUUUCAAUUAUAAAUAGCCCAUAAAGUGACUAUUUGUAGCACUUAAUAUUUAUAUAUAAUCACACUUCAUAAUGAAAGUAGAAAAUAACAAAUGACAGAAAUAUUUUUAUGAUUUUUGUGAUCCGGAGUCUUAAAGCUCUGAAAAGACCUUAGUUUAAAAUUAUUAGUUACUACUUCCAUGUAAUAAGCACCAAUUGUAUACCAGAUCUCUUAAUUUUUCCAACAAUUCCUAGCUAUAUGCAACAUCAUUUCCAUUUUGCAAAAAAGGUUAGCAUGCUUAAUAAAGUUAAAGAACUUUAUCAAAAAGCUUCUAGAGAAUGGAGCAGUUUGCUAAGAUUGCCUGUAACAAAAUACCACAAACAGACCAGCUUAAAGCAACAGGAAUUUAUUGUCUCACAGUUUUGAGGGCCAGGAGUCUGAAAUCAAAAUGUCAGGAGGAUCACGUUCCCUCCAAACCCUGCCUGUGGAGGACCCUUCUUGUCUCUCCACACCUUCUGGAGGUUGUUGGGAAUCUCUGGUGCUCCUUGGCUGGAAGAAUCAUCAGUCUCCUCCAUCUUUACAUGGCCUCUUCCUCAUGUGCCUCUCUGUCUAUGUGUCAAGUUUCCCCUUUUUAUAAGGACACUGGUCAUGUUGAAUUAGGACCCACUCCAAUUACCUCAUUUUAACUUGAUUAAUUCUAAAGUGAUCUUUUUUUUUUUUUUUUUUUUUUCUCUGAGACGGGGUCUUGCUCUGUUACCCAGGCUGGAGUGCAGUGGCGUGAUCUCAGCUCACUGCAACCUCUGACUCCUGGGUUAAAGCGAUUCUCCUGUCUUAGCCUCUUGAGUAGCUGGGAAUACAGGCGCCAGCAUGCCUGGCUAAUUUUUGUAUUAUUAGUAGAGACAGGAUUUCACCAUGUUGGCCAGGCUGGUCUCAAACUCCUGAACUCAAGUAAUCCACGCAUCUCAGCCUCCCAAAGUGCUGGGCUUAAAAGUGUGAGCCACCACACCCACCCUGAAAUGAUCUGUUUCUAAAUAAGGUCACAUUCUGAGUUAUUGGGAUUUAGGAAUUUGAUGUGUGCGUUUUUUUGGAGGGGGGCACAACUUAACCCAUAACAGGAAACAAGAAGCAAAUAUGUAUUUGAACCUGGUCUUUCAACUUCAAAACCUACAUUUUACUCUGCUGCCCAUGUGUUGCCUUUGUAAUCAAAACUAAAACCUUUCCAUUUAACAUUUGAAAUUGUUACCUGCCUGUUCACAUGGCUAUCUUUCCUCCCCAGGCUCUAAGCUAUUUUAGGGCAGACAUAUCAUCAUAUUUCUGAUGUUACCCCCACCUUAAUAGAUAAGUGUCUAGGACACAAUUCCUUAGUAAAUCUUCAUCAUGCUGAAGAGAAAUGACUCUGUAAAAGGAAUGUGGAUGGUUAUAGUGGUUUAAAUAUUGAGACUACAUAUUAUA
rnacentral:lncRNA from 1 species